UGCAGGAAGUGACCACCUGCACUGCGGAGACUGGCCCCAGAGGAAGACCCGCCACCUGCCCCCAGGCCCCAGCCUCCAGCCCCUCCACAGACCACGCGAACCAAGGGCUCCAUCCUCAGACGAGAAGCUGUUCUUCUCCUGGAAGAUCAUAAAGUCAUGAGACCAAUAGCACCUGGACAGUUACAUCAGCAUCGCUGUGGUUUUCCUCCAAGAACGGAUAUGAAGCUCAGAAGAGGAACUAAAGCUAAGAAAAACCGAGCUCCUGAGAAGACCUCUCUGCAAGCUUCCCCUCUGAAUCACCUGGCACAGUCAACUUCUGGAAUUUAGGGACUGGAGAACCAAAGUCUAUGCAAUUCAGAAUUCUUAAUCUGUGUUUACCUGCUAGCCUCAUUCCUCAGUGGGGCCAGGGAGCAGAGGCAGCCUGGUCCCUGUGAGGAAGAUUGAGGGCACGGAGGAAGGAAUCACUAGUUCUCAUCUCAGAAAAUAAGAUACCACCUCCUAACAUAGCCCAGUUUCAGUUUCUCCUCUGCUCGAAGGGAUCGUUGUCUUAUCUCUCAUCCUACAAGAGCCAGCUUGGCGAGCCUCAGUCCCCCGACCUGACUUAUCCUCAGGCACCCCAUCAUUUCCCAUCACCCCACCACCAGCACCUUCCUCCCCCAGGCGUGAUCUGCCACACCGAGAAACAAUAAAAAAAAAAAGAGAAAAUUUCA
rnacentral:lncRNA from 1 species